CAGAAAAAAGAAAGUUAAAGUACAGAAAAGAAAAGUCAACCUAUUUAUCCAAUCUGUUCUUUAUUCUUUGAAGUCUUUUGUUUUAUUUUUCCUGAAAUAUUUGUAAUUGCACAUUAACCGGCUCUGAUCAAUUAGCUUGUGUCACUGGUGUCGGACCUAGGUCGUUUUGUACACAUAAAGCUGCGUAACUGGUGCGCGCUUGAAUUAAAAACAGCUUGUCUGCGUUAAAUCUGCGCAGCUGGUGCGCGCUUGAAUAUCUCAACUCUCGUGUGACGGUCAUGUGAUCCGGUGCGCUGUACUAGCGGUGUGUUGCUGAAGAUGGCGUGCUGUGGAGGAUGUUUGUGUUGUCAGUGCUGCUGCAAUGAAGGCGAAACAAGAACACCAGAGGAGCUGACAAUACUGGGUGAAACCAGAGAAGACGAUGAUGAAAUAUUGCCAAGAAAAGACUAUGAGAGUUUGGAUUAUGACCGAUGUAUUAAUGAGCCAUUCUUGGAGGUUUUAGAGGGGUUGGAUAAUAAGAAAGCCAAAAAGUAUGAAGCGAUAAAGUGGAUUUUGGUCUUUGCGAUUGGAGUAUCAACAGGACUGACUGGCCUGUUUGUGGAUUUCUUUGUGUGGCUCUUCACUCAGCUGAAGUUCAGCUUGGUUGGACAAUCUGUGGAGGAAUGCAGUGAGAAUGGCUGUUUAGCUCUCUCAUUACUGGAGCUGCUGGCUCUCAAUAUGAUGUUCAUAUUCAUCUCCAGUGUUCUGGUGCUCAUUGAGCCUGUUGCAGCUGGGUCUGGUAUCCCAGAAAUUAAAAGUUACCUUAACGGAGUAAAGAUUCCAGGAAUUGUGCGGCUGCGGACCUUCAUUUGUAAGGUCACUGGGGUCCUGUUUGCUGUUGCUGGAGGAUUGUUUGUGGGUAAAGAGGGACCAAUGAUCCACAGUGGAGCGAUAGUAGGGGCAGGACUUCCUCAGUUUCAGAGCAUCACCUUCAAGAAGAUCCGCUUUCACUUCCCCUAUUUCCGCAGUGACAGGGACAAAAGGGAUUUUGUCUCAGCGGGUGCAGCAGCCGGAGUUGCAGCUGCCUUCGGGGCACCCAUAGGGGGCACACUCUUUAGUCUGGAGGAGGGAUCAUCCUUCUGGAACCAGGCUCUCACAUGGAAAGUGUUGUUCUGCUCCAUGUCUGCCACUUUCACACUCAACUUCUUUCGUUCUGGGAUCAACUUCAAUAAAUGGGGAUCAUUCCAGCUCCCUGGCCUGCUCAACUUUGGAGAGUUCAAGUGCACAGAUGGAGAUAAGUCAUGUCAUUUGUGGACAGCAGUAGAUUUGGCGUUUUUUGUAUUAAUGGGGGUGGCAGGAGGUCUGCUCGGCGCGCUGUUCAACUGCAUCAACAAACGGCUCGCAAAAUACCGCAUGAGAAACGUUCAUCCCAAAGCAAGAUUCAUCAGGGUGUUGGAGAGUCUGUUGGUAUGUAUGGUGACUUCAUUAGUGAUCUUCAUGGCUUCAGUGACUCUGGGGGAGUGCCGAGAUUUAGUCUCCACCAUAAAUAACAACUCAUCAACACAGGGGUCUGUAAAUGAGGAGGUGAACUCAACCAUACGACGAUUCUUCUGCUACAACAACACAUAUAAUGACAUGGCGACUCUGUUCUUCAACCCUCAAGAGGUGGCAAUCCACCAGCUCUUCCACCAGAAUGCUACCUUUAGUCCGGUCACCCUCUCGCUGUUCUUCAUGCUGUAUUUUUUUCUGAGCUGUUGGACAUAUGGUGUGUCCGUCCCCAGUGGUCUGUUUGUCCCGUCUCUUCUCUGUGGAGCUUCACUUGGACGCCUGGUGGCCAAUGUCCUCAAAAUUAACUUCCACAUGCAAAUCUAUUCUGGGACCUUUGCCUUGAUUGGAGCAGCUGCCUUCCUAGGAGGUGUGGUUAGAAUGACCAUCAGCCUGACAGUCAUCUUAAUUGAAUCGACCAAUGAGAUCACCUACGGACUUCCUAUUAUGAUAACACUGAUGGUGGCCAAAUGGACAGGAGAUUUCUUUAAUAAGGGAAUAUACGAUAUUCACAUUCACCUGAAAGGAGUUCCGCUGCUGGAGUGGGAAACAGAAGUCGAGAUGGACAAAUUGACAGCCAGUGACAUCAUGGAGCCCAACCUGACAUACGUGUAUCCUCACACCCGUAUUCAGUCUCUGGUCAGCAUCCUGAGGACCACAGUCUAUCACGCCUUCCCCGUUGUCACCGAGAACAGAGAUAAUGAGAAGGAGUUUAUGAAAGGAAAUAUCCUCAUAAGCAACAAUAUCAAAUUCAAGAAAACCAGCGUGUUGACACGUGCGGGGGAGCAGAGACGGAGGUGUCAGUCAAUGAAAUCAUACCCGUCAAGUGAGCUACGCAAUGUGUGUGAUGAGCAGGUUGUUGUGGAGCCGGCGGAGGAAGGGCAGGACAUCCUUCAGCAGAUGCUGGAGAGGAGGUAUGUGCCGUACCCAAACCUUUACCCGGACCAGUCGCCCAGUGAGGAGUGGACCAUGGAGGAGAGGUUCCGCCCGCUCACCUUUCACGGGCUCAUCCUGCGUUCACAGCUCGUCAACUUGCUGAUCCGCGGUGUCUGCUAUGCUGAAAACCAGUCGAGUGCCUCACAGCCACGGCUCUCUCAUUCAGAGAUGACUGAGGACUACCCACGAUUCCCUGACAUCCACGAUCUCGACCUGGCCCUUCUCAACCCACGCAUGAUUGUGGAUGUGACUCCUUACAUGAACCCCAGUCCGUAUACAGUCUCUCCAAACACACGCGUCUCCCAAGUAUUCAAUCUGUUCAGGACCAUGGGGCUUCGACACUUACCUGUAGUCAAUGCAGUGGGAGAGGUAAGUUUAAAACUGAGGGGGCAUUUACACUACGCUGUUUUCAACUAAAAACUGAAAACAUUUAAAAACGAUACUUUUAUCAUCUCCAUAUAAGCUACAAAAACAUGAAUUUGUGAAAAAUAUUAAUGAGUAUUAUGCGUUCAGUCUAUAGUGUAGUGUUUCUUUACAAAGUGACAUCGCCAACUACUGGCAUGGCAUGAAUAUUACAGCGCUUUUAGUUGUUUUCUUGGACCCGUGUGAACGAGGAUCGUUUUUUGACAAUAUUGUUUUUUCAAAAAUGCUAAGGGAAAACUUUUCCGUUUUUAGAUGUUGUCUAAACGUACCCUAAAUAAGCACAAACAUAGAAACACAUCUAAGGAAAAGUGACAAAAUAUGUAGAAGCAACCUUCUGUCUUUUCAGAUUUUUGUGUCUUCAUUAGGGCUGUAAUGGUACACAAACAUGACGAUUCGGUACGUACCUCUGGUUUGGUACAGGUUCGGUACAGCAGGGUAGAGUUCAUUUCUCUAGCGAACUAACAUGAUGUUGUCACUAAAUACCUGAGAUAAAUGUAAUGCUAUGUGAGAUAUUAUUCUCAAGCUGAUUUAUUCAGUUGAAACACUGGUUGAGAGAUUACAUGAAAACAUAUAGAUAGAUCAUCUCUUCUUCUGCGCUUUUUACUGGUAGCAAACAGCGUUGCAUUACUGUGCGCGCCCCCUUCGGGAUUGGAGUGUGGAUCACCUGUGACUGAUUAUAUUCAUCAUGUGACUGUCUGAACCGAACCUUGAAGUCUGUACCGUGCGGUUCGUGAUGAAUACAUGUACCGUUUCACCACUAGACUUCAUUCAUUUGUAGUUUUAAAGGAAUAGUUCACCAAAAAAUAAAAAUUCUAUUACUUAUUGCCCUUUAUGUCAUUCCAAACCUUUCUUUGUAAGGUGGAAUACAAAAAGAGAUACUUUGUACAAUGUUCAUGCUGCUUUUUUCCCAUUCAGUGAAAGUAUAUAGUGACCAGGGGCUGUAAAGCUCCAAAAUGAACAAAAAAAGCAAAAAAUAAAAACAAACCAUAUGACUUAAGGAUUGUGGGAAUAAUCACCAGACAUAAUCUUACCCAUGAGUUUUUAGUUGCUAAACUUCGACAGCAUUACAUCACAAUCUAAGACUCCACUGGCGCCGUCUGCGAUCAAUCAGCCAAACUUGAGUAGUGGCUCGCUUGAGAGGAGAUGAGCCAAACGCUCCAGGGACCUGAGACCAGAUCGCCUCCGGACCUGAACCCCUGCUUCAGGUCGCACCCUUAAGCCAUUCCUAGUUCCUGCGUGGACCACUAGAGUUCGGUAUCUGACCCGUCCAGGCACAAACACACACAAACACCCAUCAUGCUAGCACUAAUGCAGGUGAAGUACAGUUAAUCAACACAUUUCAGGAAAGCAUCCUGAUUUCCUUGUACUGACGAUGUUUGCUGCCUGUGUUUUACCAACCUCACUGUAGCACUUUUAAUUUUGUCUCUUUGAGUUCUGAAUGUUUUAAAUUGUGCUUACCAUUUCUGUAUAUUUAUGAAUGUUUGCUUUUGCACAAAGAGUGAGAUAAACCACUGACCACAGUCCCUGGUCAAAAUCUUUUUACUUAAAGGGUAAAUAUCAUGAAACCAAGAACACGUCUGUGUCAUUAUUCACCCCAGAAUCAAAAGAAAGAUUUGUUUGUUUGUAAAGAAAAUGGAUUUUUUUUUUUUUUUUUUUUUUUUAGUAUUGUGGCAUUGGUAAUGAAGGCUCCAAAUGAAAAAUUCUUAUUACUGUACUGCCAGAGUAAUAUUUAAAUUCUAUUGCCGUCAUUUAUUCUGAUUUCAAUAAAAUAGUUGUAUUGCAAUAAUACAAAUAUUUUACUUUUAAAUAUUUGUUUUAAAAAUGACUGUAUUAAUGUAAAGAGUCAUCAAUAUAUAAACAAUUGGAAUGCAAUUGGUGCAUAGCAGUAAUUCGAAAUUUUGCAAUUAGCGUUAAAAUGUAACAAAAUAUAUUGUUAAAUAAGGUUAAAUAAGGAAAUCAUUGAAAAUGUGGCAUUAAAGAAAUAUUAGAAGACCUCUUGCUAGGAGUCAUCCAUAAAAUAUAUGCAUACAGUUCUGAUUGAUGAUUCAUUAAAUCAUGCCAUUAUUUCUAUAAUGCCUUUUUCUAGUGACACGUUUGCUCUACUUUGAAAUGCAAUUUAAGGUCUUUCAAUUCCAGUCUUUUGGCAUUCAUAAGUGGAAAAUAUUCCAAUUGUAAUUGUGGCAUUAACAAUAUUUUUACAGUUAUUAGCGCAUCUUCAAAUAAUCGUUUUUGCCCAUUCCAUUGAAAUGUCCUGACAUUCUUGACGUUGUUUUGUCAGGGAAGAAAGCGCUCAGGGUGCGUUUGUAAUAAUAAACCAAUCAAACCACCAUAAAGUCACUAAAUUACAGGGAUUUAUGUAAUAUGCUUCUUUUUGUAAUCUAACAUCCACUGUAAUGUACAGUCAUGAUAUCAGUAUGGGGUUUGAUUUCAAGGGACUUUUAAGAGCAGACUAAAUAGUAUUAUAGGAAAUGGUGGCACAUUUGUAUACUACACAUUCCUUCUUUUUUUUUUUCAUUUAUUUGUAAUUUUUUUUUUUGUUUUAAUUUGAUUUAUUUAAGAUGAAUUCCACUGAGGAUAUUUUGUCACAUGCUGCAAAUAAUGUUUUAAUUUAUUCUUUAAAAUGUAAUUUAUCUAUUGCAGUUUUUUAUUAUGAUGUGAAACAAUCAGUUUUAUUUGAUGUCUUUUCAAAUGUAUGUUUUAUAACAUACGGUUUAUUUGAGUUUUCUUUGUUGACUGAAUAUGUGCUGCAGGUAUGGAGAGUUGACUGAACACCAUUCGUCUGUUAUAAGAGCUUCAUAAAGUGACAUGCAAAUGUUAUGUGAAAAUCAUCUGUAAUCUCAAUACUCCAUUGUAGUGUCAUGUACUCUAUCAUUAUGGUUUUUCAGGUGAUGGAUUCAAUGCAGUAUAGUCAAAAUAAAAUGUAUACCCUUGUAAA